ACAAGGUUAGCCCUUCAUCCCCCACUGUAGCUGGAAACCCAAGUCUACACAUGAGUUUAGUCCAUUAGCUGGAACCCUAAGCUAUACGCAACCAGGCCUCCUGCUAUUCUCACCACAUGUGUCACCAUUAUCUACUUGAGACUCGGUGACCAUUAGAAUGUUAGGAUGAACGUCAACUUAGCAUAAUCAUAUUCAUACUAUUACCACAUUGAAACCAACCACUGAG
rnacentral:lncRNA from 1 species